GCCCAUCAUCAUAUGUGUGAGAAGAUAUUUCAGUUCAGGAAGGGUUUUUUCCACUGUAAUGAUAUUUUGCAUUGGCAGCUCAUGCCUCAGUGCUCUGAGUGUUUAUAGUCCUGUGAACACUUUCAAAAGGUCCAAGAACUGUCCGCUCUAAAACACAAGCCAAUAUGAUUCUGUUCAUCUGGGCAUUUUACUGCAUCCAAGGUUCUUUUGGGCAGGUUGUUGUGACUCAGUCUGAUGUUAAAUCAGUUCAGCUCGGUCAAACAGUCUCCAUUGAUUGUAAGGUCAACACUGCAGUUUAUAGGUAUCCAACAGGCUCAGUAUCCAAAGAUUACUACAUCUCCUGGUAUCUUCAGAGGCCAGAUGAACCCCCUAAACUCCUUAUAUAUUUCACAACAAUGAAGCCUUCAAGUGCUCCAUCUAGAAUCAGUGGGGGAGGCAGUUUUCACUCUGGAGGAAAUGGUCUUGAUUUCAGCCUGAACAUAAAUGAUGCCCAGGUUGAAGAUGCAGGAGAUUAUUACUGUCAGAGUUACCAUGAGAUCAGUGGUAAAGCAGUGUUCACACAGUGAAAAAAUGCUGUACGAAAACCUCCCGUGGUCAGGUUACCGACAAGUUGCUGAUACGAGACCUACAGGUGCUGAAAACAAAACAAAAACAGGGCUUUGCAGUGAGAUACACACAGAUGUGCAUGUUCUUGUAUAAUUGAAGUAAUAUUCCAACCCAGGUCUUCGCAUCAAUUGAAUAUUAUUACUGGAAUUCCUUAUGUUCUAUGAUAUUUCUCAUACUUUCACAUAUAGAAAAUUAUACUAAAUCAAUACCCAUAUGU